rnacentral:tRNA from 1 species
GGUCCGAUAGCUCAUCCGGUAUGAGCGCUCGCUUCAUAAGCGAAGGGAGGCGGUUCGAGCCCGCCGCGGACUACCA